rnacentral:rRNA from 1 species
AUUGAACGCUGGCGGCAGGCCUAACACAUGCAAGUCGAACGAGUGGCGGACGGGUGAGUAAUGUCUGGGAAACUGCCCGAUGGAGGGGGAUAACUACUGGAAACGGUAGCUAAUACCGCAUACCAUCGGAUGUGCCCAGAUGGGAUUAGCUAGUAGGUGGGGUAACGGCUCACCUAGGCGACGAUCCCUAGCUGGUCUGAGAGGAUGACAAGCAACACUGGAACUGAGACACGGUCCAGAGUACUACGGGAGGCAGAAGUGGGGAAUAUUGCACAAUGGGCGCAAGCCUGAUGCAGCCAUGACGCGUGUAGGAAGAAGGCCGUAGGGUUGUAAAGUACUGUAAGCGGGGAGGCGUUACCCGCAGAAGAAGCACCGGCUAACUCCGUGCCAGCAGCCGCGGUAAGUC